GUUUUGCUGUCCUGUCUAUCUGAAAAAGAGCUUGUUUGACUGAUUUACUUAGCAACUGCUGUAAAGAGGAAAGAUCACCAGUAAAUUCCAUGGACCUGGUAUUCACAACGCCCUAUCAACUUUAUGCGUUACUGACCUCCACAGGCAUUUUAGGGGAAGGCACAGCAGGGAAAGAGUUGAAGGCAUGCUACUACCAUCUGUUGCCACAAGAAAGAGUCUGGCUUGAUUCCCAUGUCUGCAGCUCGGUUCUUGAAUGGGCAGGAUCAGGAAACACCAUGGAGAUUUCUACUUUAACAACUGGUAUUUUUUAAAGUCAGUCCACUCUUGCUGCCAGACCCAAGCGAUUGACCCAAGGUAUUUCCUGAGACGAAUGGUGAUGCAUUUAAUGAUUGUUUUUGUGGAUUUUCCUCUGGCCUCGGAUCAGAGAUCUCUGCGAUUCACUUCAGGUCAGAGGCAAUAUAACUUCCAUACAGUAUUCAUCAGUUCUGGUAAGCCAAAUCUUGCAAUAUGAUUGCAGAGUCUGCUGCAUAGGUUUUCUAUACUGAGUCCUAUUAAUAUGCAUGACUGUACUAUAUUUUAAGAUCAUAGCAUUGUAUUGAAAUUACAGUAUUGCUGCCUGCCUUAUGUCACAGGAUUUAAGCAUCAGGGUACUCAAGCUCUGUCUUUCUUUCCGUGUGUUUAGAACAUGUCCAGAUCCCUUUUAGCUCUCCUCUUAGAUAAAUCCCAACUGACCUACAAAAAAGAGCACUGCUGCAAAGAGCAGAGUUGUGCAGUAGCUGCUGUGAGGGGACUAUCUGCACCUUUCAUGAUAAUCCUCCAAGUUGGAAACAGCAGAAACUAUUGAGCACCAGCCCAACCUCAUCUAAAUAAAUA
rnacentral:lncRNA from 1 species